rnacentral:rRNA from 1 species
AUGAGCCAAAAUUACAAAGGUCAAACUAUUUUUAUCACACCUCGCAAACCUAUGAACGUUAGAAACAAAACGGCGUGGCAAAGCGCGCGUAUACUACUAGAUUCAUGCUACACCACAUGUUCGGAAAUUACUAUCCAUCAGUUAGGAGGGCAACAUUUGUAUGGGGUGGUUAUGCUAGACCAUCACGACCUCCAUAGCCACAAACGAAAUGGUUUGCAAAUGAAUUUUCACAGCUACCAAGUUGUGACAUUUGACUCUCACACUUAUAUACCUCCUUAA